rnacentral:rRNA from 1 species
CCUACGGGUGGCAGCAGUGAGGAAUAUUGGUCAAUGGACGAGAGUCUGAACCAGCCAAGUAGCGUGAAGGAUGACUGCCCUAUGGGUUUUAAACUUCUUUUAUAUGGGAAUAAAACAGGGUAUGCAUACCCUCUUGAAUGUCCCAUAUGAAUAAGGAUCGGCGAACUCCGUGCCAGCAGCCGCGGUAAUACGGAGGAUCCGAGCGUUAUCCGGAUUUAUUGGGUUUAGAGGGUGCGUAGGUGGAUUGUUAAGUCAGUUGUGAAAGUUUGCGUCUCAACCGUAAAAUUGCAGUUGAAACUGGCAGUCUGGAGUACAGUAGAGGUGGGCGGAAUUCGUGGUGUAGCGGUGAAAUGCUUAGAUAUCACGAAGAACUCCGAUUGCGAAGGCAGCUCACUGGACUGCAACUGACACUGAUGCUCGAAAGUGUGGGUAUCAAACAGGAUUAGAUACCCGAGUAGUC